GGCAGGGAGACACUGCCAACUGCCAGCUGCCGCCAUGACCAGCAGCAUGUGAAGACACCGAAGACCUGGGUUUGGUUCCUAACACCCGCAUGGUAACUCCCAAUCAUCCAUAACUCCAGUUCCAGGGAGUCUGGUGUCUUCUUUUGACCUUCAUAGAAACCAAGCAUGCACUUGGUACACUUACGUACAUGCAGUGAUAAAGAUUGAACCCAAGGCUCUUUUUCUGUUAGGCAAACGCUCUGCCACUGAACUGCACCCUCAGUCCGAUGGUUGAAUUCAAAAGCUUAUGCCAAAUAGGAGAGAACUGCUUUGGAAUGCAAAAGCACCUGUUGAAACUUGUAAAAAGAAAGUGCAAGAUCUGAUGGAAGCCUAAAGAGAAUCCUUGUUCCGUGCUCAGGUCUUGCUACCCAGUUAGUGUCUCUGAAGCAGCUGCUGUACACUGACCAAGUAGAUGAAACCAGAAAUCCCUGAAAGGUGACCUAUGGGACGGUGACAGCAGAGCCCAGGCAUCAGAUCAAGAGCGGAAAAGCGGGUGGCUGAGUCCUCAAUCUAGAAGUUGAUCUCAACUAUCUGAUCCUAGACUUUCGUCAGUAUCCUUAUAUGGUAAACCCAGUUAGGGAUCACAGAGCCAGGAGGAACAGGAUAAAGGGAGCCUGACUCAUUGUCGUCGUCAUCAUGUUUUCCUUCUCACGAAGGAUGGGGUAGUGGCCACCAUAUUGAUGCUUGCCUAUGCUCAGAUCUGAAGUGGUUCCCAAUCUUUAAUAUACUGCCCGAAAAGGCAAGAAAAACAAAUACCCAAACCAAGAGUGAAACUUCAGACAGAGGGCUGCAGGAUGUGAGGGCCUCCGGAGAUGAUCUAGUCUGACCAUGUAAAAUGUGCCACAAAUGCGCUUGGGAAAUAGUCACCCCAACAGCAGUUUAAAAACCCCAAGA